rnacentral:rRNA from 1 species
UACGGAGGGUGCAAGCGUUACUCGGAAUCACUGGGCGUAAAGCGCGCGCAGGCGGCUUUGUAAGUUGGAUGUGAAAUCCUAUGGCUCAACCAUAGAACUGCAUCCAAAACUACUUAGCUAGGGUCUGGGAGGGGAAGAUGGAAUUAGUGGUGUAGGGGUAAAAUCCGUAGAGAUCACUAGGAAUACCAAAAGCGAAGGCGAUCUUCUGGAACAGUACUGACGCUGAGGCGCGAAAGCGUGGGGAGCAAACAGGAUUAGAUACCCCGGUAGUCCACGCCCUAAACGAUGAAUGUUAGUCGUCGGGUAGCUAGUCUAUUCGGUGAUGCAGUUAACACAUUAAACAUUCCGCCUGGGGAGUACGGUCGCAAGAUUAAAACUCAAAGGAAUAGACGGGGACCCGCACAAGUGGUGGAGCAUGUGGUUUAAUUCGAAGAUACGCGAAGAACCUUACCUGGCCUUGACAUUGAUAGAAUCUGCUAGAGAUAACGGAGUGCCUUUCGGGGAGCCUGAAAACAGGUGCUGCACGGCUGUCGUCAGCUCGUGUCGUGAGAUGUUGGGUUAAGUCCCGCAACGAGCGCAACCCUCGUUCUUAGUUACUAACGGUUCGGCCGAGGACUCUAAGAAGACUGCCUUCGCAAGGAGGAGGAAGGUGAGGACGACGUCAAGUCAUCAUGGCCCUUACGGCCAGGGCAACACACGUGCUACAAUGGGUAGGACAAUGAGACGCGAUACCGCGAGGUGGAGCAAAUCUAUAAACCUAUUCUCAGUUCGGAUUGUAGUCUGCAACUCGACUACAUGAAGCUGGAAUCACUAGUAAUCGUAGAUCAGCUAUGCUACGGUGAAUACGUUCCCGGGUCU